AUAGUGGAGAUUCAAACUCGAAUUCCAAUGGAAAUCCUCAAGGUUAUCCUUUGAAUGAGAGGGUUUGGAGCUGGAGAUUCAAAGCUGGCGCGCAAGGGUCCUCAAUUCUGAUCAUGGAGGGUUCUAUUUAUAUCCAAAGCAUUGUUAUUUGCACACUUGAUUCAAAACUCCAAAAAUAUUAAUUCCACUUCGCAUGCAUGCAUGGGCGUGUG
rnacentral:lncRNA from 1 species